UACGAAGGGGGCUAGCGUUGCUCGGAAUCACUGGGCGUAAAGCGCACGUAGGCGGAUUGUUAAGUCAGGGGUGAAAUCCUGGAGCUCAACUCCAGAACUGCCUUUGAUACUGGCGAUCUUGAGUCCGGGAGAGGUGAGUGGAACUGCGAGUGUAGAGGUGAAAUUCGUAGAUAUUCGCAAGAACACCGGUGGCGAAGGCGGGUCUCUGGGCCGAUACUGACGCUGAGGAGCGAAAGCCAGGGGAGCAAACGGG
rnacentral:rRNA from 1 species